AGUGAACGCUGGCGGUAGGCCUAACACAUGCAAGUCGAACGGCAGCACAGUAAGAGCUUGCUCUUACGGGUGGCGAGUGGCGGACGGGUGAGGAAUACAUCGGAAUCUACUUUUUCGUGGGGGAUAACGUAGGGAAACUUACGCUAAUACUGCAUACGACCUACGGGUGAAAGCAGGGGAUCUUCGGACCUUGCGCGAUUGAAUGAGCCGAUGUUGGAUUAGCUAGUUGGCGGGGUAAAGGCCCACCAAGGCGACGAUCCGUAGCUGGUCUGAGAGGAUGAUCAGCCACACUGGAACUGAGACACGGUCCAGACUCCUACGGGAGGCAGCAGUGGGGAAUAUUGGACAAUGGGCGCAAGCCUGAUCCAGCCAUACCGCGUGGGUGAAGAAGGCCUUCGGGUUGUAAAGCCCUUUUGUUGGGAAAGAAAAGCAGCAGGUUAAUACCCCGCUGUUCUGACGGUACCCAAAGAAUAAGCACCGGCUAACUUCGUG
rnacentral:rRNA from 1 species